CCUACGGGGGGCAGCAGUGGGGAAUUUUGGACAAUGGGCGCAAGCCUGAUCCAGCCAUUCCGCGUGAGUGAAGAAGGCCUUCGGGUUGUAAAGCUCUUUCGCAAGGGAAGAAAACUUAUCCUCUAACAUAGGAUGAGGUUGACGGUACCUUGAUAAGAAGCACCGGCUAACUACGUGCCAGCAGCCGCGGUAAUACGUAGGGUGCGAGCGUUAAUCGGAAUUACUGGGCGUAAAGCGUGCGCAGGCGGUUUUGUAAGUCAGAUGUGAAAUCCCCGAGCUCAACUUGGGAACUGCGUUUGAAACUACAAGACUAGAAUAUGUCAGAGGGGGGUAGAAUUCCACGUGUAGCAGUGAAAUGCGUAGAGAUGUGGAGGAAUACCAAUGGCGAAGGCAGCCCCCUGGGAUAAUAUUGACGCUCAUGCACGAAAGCGUGGGGAGCAAACAGGAUUAGAUACCCUGGUAGUC
rnacentral:rRNA from 1 species